rnacentral:ncRNA from 19 species
AGUAUCCUUCAGGGUUGGGUGAAAUUCCCUAUCGGCGGUAUAGCCCGCAAGCCAUAAGGCAGAUUCGGUUAAAUUCCGAAGCCGACAGUAUAGUCUGGAUGAAAGAAGGUAAAU